UACGUAGGGGGCUAGCGUUGUCCGGAUUUAUUGGGCGUAAAGAGCGUGUAGGCGGCCAGGUAGGUCUGCUGUGAAAACUCGAGGCUCAACCUCGAGACGUCGGCGGAAACCAUCUGGCUAGAGUCCGGAAGAGGAGAGUGGAAUUCCUGGUGUAGCGGUGAAAUGCGCAGAUAUCAGGAGGAACACCUAUUGCGAAGGCAGCUCGCUGGGACGUUACUGACGCUGAGACGCGAAAGCGUGGGGAGCAAACAGG
rnacentral:rRNA from 1 species